rnacentral:rRNA from 1 species
AGAACGAACGCUGGCGGCAUGCCUAAUACAUGCAAGUCGAACGAACACUUCGGUGUUAGUGGCGCACGGGUGCGUAACGCGUGGGAAUCUGCCCUUGGGUUCGGAAUAACAGUUGGAAACGACUGCUAAUACCGGAUGAUGACGAAAGUCCAAAGAUUUAUCGCCCAGGGAUGAGCCCGCGUAGGAUUAGCUAGUUGGUGAGGUAAAGGCUCACCAAGGCGACGAUCCUUAGCUGGUCUGAGAGGAUGAUCAGCCACACUGGGACUGAGACACGGCCCAGACUCCUACGGGAGGCAGCAGUGGGGAAUUUGGACAAUGGGCGAAAGCCUGAUCCAGCCAUGCCGCGUGCAGGAUGAAGGCCUUCGGGUGUAAACUGCUUUGUACGGAACGAAAGUCUACUUCU